rnacentral:rRNA from 1 species
GAACAUCGACAUUUUGAACGCAUAUUGCGGUCCAUACUGACUAGUUUCUUAAUCGAAGCUGUAUGGACCACACAUGGUUGAGGGUCGUUAGAUUAUGCUAACCAAAUUGCUUUUUAUUAAGCGAUAUGUUGAGGUGUUAUCAUACUUAAGUGCGAUGAUAUCCCUUGGAAAUACCAAUUUUAUUAUUGGUACACAAAUAUUAAAAAUAAAAUUUGUGAAUGCCAUAUAAUCAAAGUAAAUUAUAGAAUUUUAAACUUUAAAAAUUAGUAAACUUUGAUUUAAAGCGUUUAUAUAUAAUAUAUGCACGCAUAUCAAAUAAAAAAGUUGAAAAUUUUUAUCUUUGAAUAUUGAAAAUAUAAUAAUUUAUUUUAUAUGUUUUGCAUUUACAUUUAAUAUUUGAUUUGAAUUUAACAUAAAAGCGACCUCAACUCAUGUGAGACU